GUGGCAGCGGACCAGGUGGUGAUCAUGGAACACAUGACAAGCUUCACAGAUGCACUGGUCUGCAUGUUUGUGUCUUUCUACAUCUUCAACAUGCACUACCCAACAGCACUUGGGGCGACGCUCGAGUUUCUCCAAAGGUGCAUAUUUAAGAUAAAUCCUGAUAAGGGCUCAAAAGUUGAGCGUCUGGAAAAGAAAAACACCAGUGCAGUGAACCCGAAAGUCCUGACCCUUAUCACUCGCAUCUCGGAGUUUGAGUGGAGUUCUUAAUGAAGACCCAAGGAGGAUUUUGUGCAUGGGAGCGGAAGUUCCUGAGAAAACCUCUGGAAUCUAAAGCCUCACAGACACCUAUAAAGUUCACUGGCACUGUUUUUCAUCCUCUCGUCAGUUAACAUGUCAUUUUCUUAUCUCUUCCUUAUCAUUCACGGAUUGUAAUGUUAAAGUUCCAAGGUUUUAGUUUUAAAAUUCAACAUUACAUGUUAGCACAGUAAACAAGUGAUGGUCUGUCCAGUUAUGAUUGAUGCUGGCAUAAUACAAUGUUUUGUAUGAAUAAAAGGCCUCAGAAAUAUGAAGUUGUCUAUUUUCUGCAAAUUUAAAAUUGUAAGUUUUAUAAUAAAUAAUUAAAGGAACCAUGGACAACAAAAAGUUAAACUCUGAACUUUGAUCCAGGAGACAUAGGCAUUGCCUGCCAGGGUAUGGUAGAACCCUAAAUAAACCACAUUUUAAUAGCUAAUGAUUAUAUAUAUAUUAGUUGCAAGCAGGGCAAAAGCAUUUGGAUUUUGCUAUAAUGUGCUUAAUCACUGGUCAAAUAUAACCAGACAUUGCACCCUGGAGAAAGUUAUUUCUUGGAGGGAACAUUCUAAAAUGGGAUACAUUUAAAACACUUUAAAUUUACUGAUUUAUGAAAUUUCACAUACAUUUAUUUCAUGAACAGGAAAAUAGUAAAACAUUUACAUAAAUUUUCUGUAAAAAUACAAUUUUUAAUCUGUAAAAAUACCACUUUUAAUCUGUAAUAAUGUGCAGUGAUUUAAAAAAAAAUCUGU